CCCUCUUUUUAACUUUGAUAACUUAACAUUCUAAUUUCCCAACAAGUGGGUCUUGGUGGCACUGCUGCAUGACGCAAAAUAGAGCUUGAGAGGGCUUGUUGCCACGAUGGCCGUGAUGGAGCUGCUCCGUGAUCAACCAGGGGUUGGUUCUCUACUGCCACUCCUAUGAUUUCUUCAUUAUUUCCAUUCACAAGCUCAACUACCACUGAACUACACCUAUUUAGUUGAUCUAGUUCAGAGUUAGGUAUUUUAAAUGCCAAUUGAAGUUUACGUGUCAAGCAAGUGUUGGUUGCUAUUUUUAGAUCCUUGACAAAUAUUUAGUUUCAUGAGUGAACUUGUUGACACAUGAACAUUUGAUGUUUACGCCGGCCGGGUCGAUGAGAAGCGGCUCCGCGCCAUUGAUAUUGCUUAUUAGUGAUGCCAUUUUCCCGUGGAUUUAUAUGGCCUCAACUGCUGCUGAGUACUAGGAGUUCUGAAAUCUAUCUUCUGUUACCUUGUCACUUAAAGGUCAACUUGAAUAGACUUUCAUUUGACACACUUCUAUUUGGAUUAAUGUUAAGCAACAACAUGAUUAUUAUUGUUUUAUAGUAUAUAAUGUUAUUCUCAUUUGUAGCCAUGGUAUGUUUUAAGAAUUUUGGAAAGCAUGUCAUUUAUUUUAAUGUUUGUUCUAAUCUCUUAUUUCUACUAUCUAAUGUCUAAUUUUGUUGUAAAUACGCUAAGGUAUUAGGUAGAGGGCUACUAUCAGGAAGGCUGACGACAAGAACCUCAAUAACAACCUCAAAUAGUUUGUUGGUACAAAUAUGCUAGGUAUCAUUAGGUAGCAGGCAACCAUCAGGAGGGCCGACGGCGAGAACCAGAAUAACAACCUCAAUCAUUUACAUGUUCUGUUUAUGUAAAUUGGAUUGUGUUAGUUCCAAACCUUGCCGUGUCUUUCACAUGUGCUGCUGAGAUGUUUGAUCACAUCAAAUCAAAAAAAUCUUGCCUUGUGCAAUUCCAUCAAAACAGCUUAGUGAUUGUUACUACAUGACAUACAUGUAAAUCCCCUGACAUCCCAUGUCCUACGUAAUUAAUUCGGUGCGUGAAGUAUUCUAGCUUGCGUAAACUAAGGUGACUUAGUACUAGUAUUAUGUUCAGUUGGUGUUCAUGUUUUAUGAUUUAGCUUGUACCUUAAUAACCAUGAAGUAAUUUGUAAGCCAUGUAAUAAAUUAUAUUUGCAGGUCUUGUCACCUUCUAUACAAAUAUACUGGUUUGUUUCAUUUCAUUAUUUUUCCUGUUAUAAGUAAUAGUACUCUCAAUACUUGCCAAGUGGACAUGUAAUACACUUUUUACACUUGUAAUACUGUUGUCUCUACUAUCUAUGAAUCUACAAAAAUCUAAUAUUCUUUUAAAUAUGCUAGGUAUGAUUGGGUAGUUACCCAUCAUAAUCUGCGCCAGGACAUGAUAGUUGUCAUCAGGAGAGUCGACGAAGAACCUCAACAGCAGCUUCAAAAGUUUAUAUGUUUUGUUGAUGUAAACUGGAUUGUACUGCUUCUUAACCUUGUUGUGUGAUAUAUUUAAUGUUGUGAAUUAUCAUUACAUGGAAGGAUUUGUAAAUUGCUAUGUUGUAUAUACACACAGGAUUUUUUUUGAGAAAAAUAUAUACAUACAGAUGGCCCGCAUAUUGCGUGAAUUGUUUGAAA
rnacentral:lncRNA from 1 species